rnacentral:rRNA from 1 species
AUUGAACGCUGGCGGCAGGCCUAACACAUGCAAGUCGAGCGAGAGGCGGACGGGUGAGUAAGGUCUGGGAAACUGCCUGAUGGAGGGGGAUAACGAGUGGAAACGGUGGCUAAUACAGCAUACCGUGAGAUGUGACAAGAUGGGAGUCACUAGUGGGUGGGGUAACGGCGCACCUAGGCGACGAUCCCUAGCUGGUCUGAGAGGAUGACCAGCCACAUUGGAACUGAGACACGGUCCAGACUCCUACGGGAGGCAGCAGUGGGGAAUAUUGCACAAUGGGCGCAAGCCUGAUGCAGCCAUGCCGCGUGUAUGAAGAAGGCCUUCGGGUUGUAAAGUACUUUCAGCGGGGAGGCGUUACCCGCAGAAGAAGCACCGGCUAACUCCGUGCCAGCAGCCGCGGUAAUAC